AGAACGAACGCUGGCGGCAGGCUUAACACAUGCAAGUCGAACGCCCCGCAAGGGGAGUGGCAGACGGGUGAGUAACGCGUGGGAACAUACCCUUCGGUACGGAAUAGCUCAGGGAAACUUGGAUUAAUACCGUAUACGGCCGGGAGGCGAAAGAUUGAUCGCCGAAGGAUUGGCCCGCGUCCGAUUAGCUAGUUGGCGGGGUAAUGGCUCACCAAGGCGACGAUCGGUAGCUGGU
rnacentral:rRNA from 1 species